rnacentral:tRNA from 1 species
GUGGGUAUAGCUGAAUGGCAGAGGGUGUGCUUAGCAUGCAUGAGGUCCUGGGAUCAAUCCCCAGUGUCUCCA